rnacentral:rRNA from 1 species
AACGAACGCUGGCGGCAUGCCUAACACAUGCCAGUCGAACGAGACCUUCGGGUCUAGUUGCGCACGGGUGCGUAACGCGUGGGAACCUGCCCUUAGGUUCGGAAUAACUCCCCGAAAGGGGUGCUCAUACCGGAUAAUGUCUUCGGACCAAAGAUUUAUCGCCUUUGGAUGGGCCCGCGUUGGAUUAGCUAGUUGGUAGGGUAAAAGCCUGCCAAGGCGACGAUCCAUAGCUGGUCUGAGAGGAUGAUCAGCCACACUGGGACUGAGACACGGCCCAGACUCCUACGGGAGGGAGCAGUGGGGAAUAUUGGACAAUGGGCGAAAGCCUGAUCCAGCAAUGCCGCGUGAGUGAUGAAGGCCUUAGGGUUGUAAAGCUCUUUUACCCGGGAUGAUAAUGACAGUACCGGGAGAAUAAGCUCCGGCUAACUCCGUG